rnacentral:ribozyme from 1 species
UGCCCAGCAACUCCUAUCCCUACCUCCACGCGGUACCGGCCGGAAACUAUGAGCAACCUUAGGGACGAUCGGGUAACCAACCCCGGUGGGAAUUUUGGCUAACAGGGAAGG